rnacentral:rRNA from 1 species
AUUGAACGCUGGCGGCAUGCUUUACACAUGCAAGUCGAACGGCAGCGCGGGCUUCGGCCUGGCGGCGAGUGGCGAACGGGUGAGUAAUACAUCGGAACGUGCCCGGUAGUGGGGGAUAGCUCGGCGAAAGCCGGAUUAAUACCGCAUACGACCUGAGGGUGAAAGCGGGGGAUCUUCGGACCUCGCGCUAUUGGAGCGGCCGAUGGCAGAUUGGCUAGUUGGUGGGGUAAAGGCCUACCAAGGCGACGAUCUGUAGCUGGUCUGAGAGGACGACCAGCCACACUGGGACUGAGACACGGCCCAGACUCCUACGGGAGGCAGCAGUGGGGAAUUUUGGACAAUGGGCGAAAGCCUGAUCCAGCAAUGCCGCGUGUGUGAUGAAGGCCUUCGGGUUGUAAAGCACUUUUGGCGGGAACGAAAAGGACUGUGCCAAUACCACGGUUCGAUGACGGUACCCGCAGAAUAAGCACCGGCUAACUACGUG